rnacentral:rRNA from 1 species
AUUGAACGCUGGCGGCAGGCCUAACACAUGCAAGUCGAACGAGUGGCGGACGGGUGAGUAAUGUCUGGGAAACUGCCUGAUGGAGGGGGAUAACUACUGGAAACGUUGCUACUACCCCAUACCAUCAGAUGUGCCCCGAUGGGAUUAGCUUGUUGGUGGGGUAACGGCUCACCAAGGCGACGAUCCCUAGCUGGUCUGAGAGGAUGACCAGCCACACUGGAACGGAGACACGGUCCAGACUCCUACGGGAGGCAGCAGUGGGGAAUAUUGCACAAUGGGCGCAAGCCUGAUGCAGCCAUGCCGCGUGUAUGAAGAAGGCCUUCGGGUUGUAAAGUACUUUCAGCGGGGAGGCGUUACCCGCAGAAGAAGCACCGGCUAACUCCGUGCCAGCAGCCGCGGUAAUUC